CCUACGGGAGGCAGCAGUGAGGAAUAUUGGUCAAUGGACGAGAGUCUGAACCAGCCAAGUAGCGUGAAGGAUGACUGCCCUAUGGGUUGUAAACUUCUUUUAUAAAGGAAUAAAACGAGGCACGUGUGCCUUUUUGCAUGUACUUUAUGAAUAAGGAUCGGCUAACUCCGUGCCAGCAGCCGCGGUAAUACGGAGGAUCCGAGCGUUAUCCGGAUUUAUUGGGUUUAAAGGGAGCGUAGAUGGGUUGUUAAGUCAGUUGUGAAAGUUUGCGGCUCAACCGUAAAAGUGCAAUUGAUACUGGCAGUCUUGAGUACAGUUGAGGUAGGCGGAAUUCGUGGUGUAGCGGUGAAAUGCUUAGAUAUCACGAAGAACCCCGAUUGCGAAGGCAGCUUACUAAACUGUGACUGACAUUGAUGCUCGAAAGUGUGGGUAUCGAACAGGAUUAGAUACCCUUGUAGUC
rnacentral:rRNA from 1 species